UGUUGCUCGUGAUGACUCCCGGAGGUGCAGUUGGCUUUAGGUCAUCCUUUCACCCAUGGUGGUAUUGUUGUUGCUCGUGAUGACUCCCGGAGGUGCAGUUGGCUUUAGGUCAUCCUUGGAUCAGAAGAAAGAUUGACCUGAGCUUGUCUUUUUUUUUUUUUUUACAAAUACUAUUUGAACCCAGGUCUGCUUGGUUUAUCCAGACAGUACCAAAGCCUGGACCUAAUCCCUCACAGAGAAGAACCAUAUUACAAUCUAAUCUAUCUAUGAUACUGUUUAUUCAUAGUGGGAGUUUUUCCCUGUCAGAAUCUGUAAUGCCACUUCGGGAAUAGGAGUACAGUAUUACACUCAGUAUUACACUCAGCAGUACACUCAGUAGUAGUACACUCAGCAGUACACUCAGUAGUAGUACACUCAGCAGUACACUCAGUAGUAGAACACUCAGCAGUACACUCAGUAGUAGUACACUCAGUAGUAGUACACUCAGUAGUAGUUCACUCAGCAGUACACUCAGUAGUAGUUCACUCAGCAGUACACUCAGUAGUAGAACACUCAGCAGUAGUACACUCAGUAGUAGUACACUCAGUAGUAGUACACUCAGUAGUAGUACACUCAGUAGUAGUACACUCAGUAGCAGUACACUCAGUAGUAGUACACUCAGUAGUAGUACACUCAGUAGUAGUACACUCAGUAGUAGUACACUCAGUAGUAGUACACUCAGUAGUAGUUCACUCAGCAGUACACUCAGUAGUAGUUCACUCAGCAGUACACUCAGUAGUAGUACACUCAGUAGUACACUCAGCAGUACACUCAGUAGUAGUACACUCAGUAGUACACUCAGCAGUACACUCAGUAGUAGUUCACUCAGCAGUACACUCAGUAGUAGUACACUCAGUAGUACACUCAGCAGUACACUCAGUAGUAGUACACUCAGCAGUACACUCAGUAGUAGUACACUCAGUAGUAGUACACUCAGUAGUACACUCAGCAUACACUCAGUAGUAGUUCACUCAGCAGUACACUCAGUAGUAGUUCACUCAGCAGUACACUCAGUAGUAGUACACUCAGCAGUACACUCAGUAGUACACUCAGUAGUAGUACACUCAGCAUACACUCAGUAGUAGUUCACUCAGCAGUACACUCAGUAGUAGUUCACUCAGCAGUACACUCAGUAGUAGUACACUCAGUAGUACACUCAGCAGUACACUCAGUAGUAGUACACUCAGUAGUAGUACACUCAGCAGUACACUCAGUAGUAGUACACUCAGUAGUACACUCAGCAGUACACUCAGUAGUAGUACACUCAGUAGUACACUCAGUAGUAGUACACUCAGCAGUACACUCAGUAGUAGUACACUCAGCAGUACACUCAGUAGUAGUAGUACACUCAGCAGUACACUCAGUAGUAGUUCACUCAGCAGUACACUCAGUAGUAGUACACUCAGCAGUACACUCAGUAGUAGUACACUCAGUAGUAGUACACUCAGCAGUACACUCAGUAGUAGUACACUCAGCAGUACACUCAGUAGUAGUACACUCAGCAGUACACUCAGUAGUACACUCAGCAGUUCAGUCUCCCAUUUCCACCCCAUAGUGGUUGUUUAUCGUUGUUGAUGACGAUGAUGAGUGUGUAGAGACCAUUGUGUGUGUUACACCAUCACCUCGUCAACCUACCCAAUACCUAACCUAACCUAUACCUUAACCCUUCAUAACUAGUUUCCUAUCGAUGGAUUGAUCUAUUAUUGACCCCUACCCUUCAUAACUAGUCUCCUAUCGAUAGAUUGAUCUAUUAUUGACCCCUACCCUUCAUAACUAGUCUCCUAUCGAUGGAUUGAUCUAUCAGACCCCUAUCUGUCUGGUAGACCCAGGGCCGGCUCCAGGCAUAAGUGACAUAAGUUCAGACGGGGUCUCAACUCACGGAGAGUAAGAAUAGUAACACCAGGUGCAAGUUGGACAUGUGGUUGUGCAUCAGCAGUUUUUCUCUUAUGUCAGUCACUGACAGUCACUCAAUUAGCCUUGUCUGCUAACAACUGUUAGAUUGGUAAGUUAGUCUAGCCAGCUUGUAGUAAUCAUGGUCAAAUAUCGACCAGGCACGCAGGGCACGUGUCCAGAGGCCCUGACUUCCAGGGCCCCCUCCUCAUUGAUUUUGUUAGUCACUCUCACUCAGAUAUCAUUAACAUGGCAUACACUACCGGUCAAAAGUUUUAGAACACCUUCUCAUUCAAGAGUUUGUCUUUAUUUGUACUAUUUUCAACAUUGUAGAAUAAUAGUGAAGACAUCAAAACUGUGAAAUAACACAUAUGGAAUCAUGUAGUAACCAAAAAAGUAUUAAACAAAUCAAAAUAUUUUAUAUAUUUGAGAUUCUUCAAAUAUCCACCCUUUGCCUUGAUGACAGCUUUGCACACUCUUGGCAUUCUCACAACCAGCUUCACUUGGAAUGCUUUUCCAACCGUCUUGAAGGAGUUCCCACAUAUGUUGAGCACUUGUUGGCUGCUUUUCCUUCACUCUGCAGUCAGACUCAUCCCAAACCAUCUCAAUUUGGUUGAGGUCGUGGGAUUGUGGAGGUCAGGUCAUCUGAUGCAGCACUUGAUCACGCUCCUUGGUCAAAUAGCUAUUACACAGCCUGGAGGUGUGUUGGGUCAUUGUCCUGUUGAAAAACAAAUGAUAGUCCCACUAAGCCCAAACCAGGUAGGAUGGCGUAUCCCUGCAUAAUGCUGUGGUAACCAUGCUGGUUAUGUGCCUUGAAUUCUAAAUAAAUCACUGACAGUGUCACCAGCAAAGCACCCCCACACCAUCACACCACCUCCUCCAUGCUUUACGGUGGGAAAUACACAUGCGGAGAUCAUCCGUUCAGCCACACCUCGUCUCACAAAGACACGGCGGUUGGAACCAAAAAUCUCAAAUUUGGACUCCAGACCAUAGGACAAAUGUUGAUCCGUCUAAAGUUCAUUGCUCAUGUUUCUUAGCCCAAGCAAGUCUCUUCUUAUUAUUGGUGUCCUUUAGUAGUGGUUUGAUCAUGAAGGCCUGAUUCACACAGUUUCUGAGGCUGGUAGCUCUAAUGAACUUAUCCUCUGCAGCAGAGGUAACUAUGAGUCUUCCUUUCCUGUGGCGGUCCUCAUGAGCGCCAAUGUAAUCAUUGCGCUUGAUGGUUUUUGCGACUGCACUUGAAGAAACUUUCAAAGUUCUUGAAAUGUUCUGUAUCGACUGACCUUCAUGUCUUAAAGUAAUGAUGGACUGUAGUUUCUCUUUGCUUAUUUGAGCUGUUCUUGCCAUAAUAUGGACUUGGUCUAUUACCAAAUAGGGUUAUGUUCUGUAUACUCCCCUACCUUGUCACAACACACUGAUUGGCUCAAAUGCAUUAAGAAGGAAACAAAUUCCACAAAUUAUCCUGUCAAUUGAAAUACAUUCCAGGUGACUACCUCGUGGAGCUGGUUGAGAGAAUGCCAAGCAUGUGGAAAGCUGUCAUGAAGGCAAAGGGUGACUAUUUGAUUUGUCUGACACUUUUUUGGUUACUAAUGAUUCCAAAUGUGUUAUUUCAUGGUUUUGAUGUUUUCAUUAUUAUUCUACAAUGUAGAAAAUAGUAAAAAUAAAGAAAAAACCUUGAAAUAACUGGAAGUGUAAGUCAUGGCAAAAUGUGUAGAAUUGAAGAAAAUUCUACACACAAAAUUCUCUCCGCCGUCGGGAGCGGAGGAGGGGGGAGGAACCAAAAUGUUUCGCCUGCAACCAAAUCUCGUUUAGGGUCUUCAAACUGCUAGAGCCAUCCCUGGGUAGACCCUUACCAGAACAUCCACCCUCAUAACCUCCACCACAGUGUUAGAGUUACCAAUAGUUACCAUUAUUUACCAAUUGUUUUAUAUAAUGCCAACCAUGCAUUUUAGGAAUCUUUGUUGUAGCUUGUUCGAUGGGACAGUCACAAAAAUGUAAAAUGAAACGAUAUACAAAGAAUGUGUGUCAUGAAGUGGGAACAAAAUGUGGCAUUCCUCCUGACAUCUUGUUCACCGCCUGUUAUUAUUCAAUGUAAAUAUCAAUACUGUAUGUUACAAUAAAAUAAUACCCCCCCAA
ensembl:lncRNA